CAGCAGUCGCCGCGGGAAUACGAAGGGUGCAAGCGUUAAUCGGAAUUACUGGGCGUAAAGCGUGCGUAGGCGGUUUGUUAAGUCUGUUGUGAAAUCCCCGGGCUCAACCUGGGAAUGGCAAUGGAUACUGGCAAGCUAGAGUGUGUCAGAGGAUGGUGGAAUUCCCGGUGUAGCGGUGAAAUGCGUAGAGAUCGGGAGGAACAUCAGUGGCGAAGGCGGCCAUCUGGGACAACACUGACGCUGAGGCACGAAAGCGUGGGGAGCAAACAGGAUUAGAUACCCGCGUAGUCCCUGUCUCUUAUAC
rnacentral:rRNA from 1 species